rnacentral:rRNA from 1 species
UCAGAAGUGCGAAUGCUGACAUAAGUAACGAUAAAGCGGGUGAAGAGCCCGCUCGCCGGAAGACCAAGGGUUCCUGUCCAACGUUAAUCGGGGCAGGGUGAGUCGACCCCUAAGGCGAGGCCGAAAGGCGUAGUCGAUGGGAAACAGGUUAAUAUUCCUGUACUUGGUGUUACUGCGAAGGGGGGACGGAGAAGGCUAUGUUGGCCGGGCGACGGUUGUCCCGGUUUAAGCGUGUAGGCUGGUUUUCCAGGCAAAUCCGGAAAAUCAAGGCUGAGGCGUGAUGACGAGGCACUACGGUGCUGAAGCAACAAAUGCCCUGCUUCCAGGAAGAGCCUCUAAGCAUCAGGUAACAUCAAAUCGUACCCCAAACCGACACAGGUGGUCAGGUAGAGAAUACCAAGGCGCUUGAGAGAACUCGGGUGAAGGAACUAGGCAAAAUGGUGCCGUAACUUCGGGAGAAGGCACGCUGAUAUGUAGGUGAAGCGACUUGCUCGUGGAGCUGAAAUCAGUCGAAGAUACCAGCUGGCUGCAACUGUUUAUUAAAAACACAGCACUGUGCAAACACGAAAGUGGACGUAUACGGUGUGACGCCUCCCCGGUGCCGGAAGGUUAAUUGAUGGGGUCAGCGCAAGCGAAGCUCUUGAUCGAAGCCCCGGUAAACGGCGGCCGUAACAAUAACGGUCCUAAGGUAGCGAAGUUCCUUGUCGGGUAAGUUCCGACCUGCACGAAUGGCGUAAUGAUGGCCAGGCUGUCUCCACCCGAGACUCAGUGAAAUUGAACUCGCUGUGAAGAUGCAGUGUACCCGCGGCAAGACGGAAAGACCCCGUGAACCUUUACUAUAGCUUGACACUGAACAUUGAGCCUUGAUGUGUAGGAUAGGUGGGAGGCUUUGAAGUGUGGACGCCAGUCUGCAUGGAGCCGACCUUGAAAUACCACCCUUUAAUGUUUGAUGUUCUAACGUGGACCCGUGAUCCGGGUUGCGGACAGUGUCUGGUGGGUAGUUUGACUGGGGCGGUCUCCUCCUAAAGAGUAACGGAGGAGCACGAAGGUUGGCUAAUCCUGGUCGGACAUCAGGAGGUUAGUGCAAUGGCAUAAGCCAGCUUGACUGCGAGCGUGACGGCGCGAGCAGGUGCGAAAGCAGGUCAUAGUGAUCCGGUGGUUCUGAAUGGAAGGGCCAUCGCUCAACGGAUAAAAGGUACUCCGGGGAUAACAGGCUGAUACCGCCCAAGAGUUCAUAUCGACGGCGGUGUUUGGCACCUCGAUGUCGGCUCAUCACAUCCUGGAGCUGAAGUAGGUCCCAAGGGUAUGGCUGUUCGCCAUUUAAAGUGGUACGCGAGCUGGGUUUAGAACGUCGUGAGACAGUUCGGUCCCUAUCUGCCGUGGGCGCUGGAGAACUGAGGGGGGCUGCUCCUAGUACGAGAGGACCGGAGUGGACGCAUCACUGGUGUUCGGGUUGUCAUGCCAAUGGCACUGCCCGGUAGCUAAAUGCGGAAGAGAUAAGUGCUGAAAGCAUCUAAGCACGAAACUUGCCCCGAGAUGAGUUCUCCCUGACUCCUUGAGAGUCCUGAAGGAACGUUGAAGGCGACGACGUUGAUAGGCCGGGUGUGUAAGCGCAGCGAUGCGUUGAGCUAACCGGUACUAAUGAACCGUGAGGCUUAACC